AUGCUUUUUGACUCGCUGUCUGAUGUGUCGCCGACAAGCCGACACUGGUCUAUUCGCGUCCGUGUUGCAUGUAUGUGUUACUACUGUGGAACAUGUGAUGGACAACCUCCAAUACAUGUUGACCUUAACUACCGUGUUAAACAGGGUAACCAUAUUUAUGCUGAGAUUCCUAGAAAUGAGGCAACCAAGUUCAAACAGCUUGUUGAAGAACAAAAAGUUUAUUGCUUCAAGAAAUUAUUGGUUCGAAGCAAAGCCUCUUACAAGCCGUUCCUUGCCAAGUACAUGAUUAGGUUCACACCCUGGACCACUGUUGUACAUGCUGAGGAUGUUGAUCCAGAGUUUCCUAUGUAUGUGUACAAACUAAUGCCAUUUUCCGAACUUCCAUCACGUGUUGGUGCGCAGGAUUUCUUUGUUGAUGUCAUUGGACAAAUUGUUGGUGUGUCACAGUUGGCAUACGUGCGAAUGCCUACAAACACAACAGACACUCCAAAGCAGGUCACUGCCUUCAGAGAUGAUAGGAAUACCGAAAUGAAAAUCGUUCUUUGGGGACAAAGGGUUGUUGAGUUUGAAGCGCAACUUGUGUAUGACAAUGGACAGAACUUACCUGUUAUUGGUGUUUUUGUUGGCCUUCUAAUGAAAUCUUACAAUAAUGAUGAAACUCUUAGCAGAGGAUCUGCAUGCAGAUGGUAUCUAAACGAGGACAUUCCUGAAAUAGAUGACUCCUUUGAAAGGUUGGGUGAUGAUUUUCCAAAAAUUCAAUGGAUAUCAAAUGGUGCUGAGAAGUUUGCUGCAAAAAGCAACCGAGGUGACCUCCCACAGAAAACUGUCGACGAGCUGCGAAACAUGGAUCCAUGGGAGGCAGAGAACACAUAUUUUCUUUGCACUGCCACAAUUACAAAAGUGAUGCCUGAGCAGCCAUGGUGGUUCCAAUCUUGUUGUAAAUUCCAUUGUUCUGCCACCUCUUAUGGCUCGGAAUUCAGAUGCAGUGCAAGAUGUGUCUCAACAAAAGCUUACCCAAAGUUCCGCCUUUGUUUAGAAGGAACGGAUGGCACAGGCGCAUCCGAGUUUGUGUUCUUUAACAGAGUUGCACAACAACUUGUUGGAAAAUAUGUCAUGGCACUGCUAAGGUCAUCUGCACUUCCUCGUGAAAUAGCUGCAGUUGUGUCUCAGAAAUAUACCCUUGCUGUCUCAGUGACCCAGAAGAGCCUCUAAAAGAGAAACAUUUCAUUCCAAGUGAAUGGCAUUCAAACCUUUUUUGGGAGACAUGACUCUAUGUCACAUGAUACUCGUGCUCCUACUAUUAUGCCCCUAGCGAUUCCAACUGGAUCUUCAAGUGGUCAUGCACUUGCUGUAUCUACCAACCCGAGCUCUGUAGACAACAUGCCUGAGCUCCCCAUAGUAGCUGAAAAAGAAAUCAAAAAGACAAGCGCAUCACGUGUGCUUCUUCGCCUCCUGAAGAGAAAGAAUACUGAUGGCUCUGCUGAAAUAGAGUUGUCAAGCAAAGUGACCAACAACGAUGCUUCAAGUGAUGGAACUACGGUGCUGGCAAUUACACCUCUCGUAUCAAUUGAUUGUAAUGCCGCUUGUACCACACACAACUCAACAAACAAGAUCAAAGACAAGAACAUUGAAGUUGACAACACGGCACUAAAGGGCGCUGCAUUUGCCACUCCUUCAAGCCUGUCUCUACCACAAGACUUCAUUCCUCCAUCAAGCGCUGCUGAAGACCUUACAGUUGAAUCAGGAACUUCCACUAAGCAGACUAACCCUCCUAAGAAAUUGUGUGUAUCCCCUCCGUCAAUUAGGUCCAUUCUAAUUGAUCUCAUAAACUGGUGUAAUUUGGAAGGGAAUCAAUAA
rnacentral:rRNA from 1 species